rnacentral:rRNA from 1 species
GAGUUUGAUCCUGGCUCAGGAUGAACGCUGGCGGCGUGCUUAACACAUGCAAGUCGAACGAAGCACUUUAUUUGAUUUCCUUCGGGACUGAUUAUUUUGUGACUGAGUGGCGGACGGGUGAGUAACGCGUGAGUAACCUGCCCUGGAGUGGGGGACAACAGUUGGAAACGACUGCUAAUACCGCAUAAGCCCACGGAUUCGCAUGGAUCUGCGGGAAAAGGAUUUAUUCGCUUCAGGAUGGACUCGCGUCCAAUUAGCUAGUUGGUGAGGUAACGGCCCACCAAGGCAACGAUCGGUAGCCGGACUGAGAGGUUGAACGGCCACAUUGGGACUGAGACACGGCCCAGACUCCUACGGGAGGCAGCAGUGGGGAAUAUUGCACAAUGGGGGAAACCCUGAUGCAGCGACGCCGCGUGGAGGAAGAAGGUCUUCGGAUUGUAAACUCCUGUUGUUGAGGAAGAUAAUGACGGUACUCAACAAGGAAGUGACGGCUAACUACGUGCCAGCCGCCGCGGUAAUUC